rnacentral:rRNA from 1 species
AUUGAACGCUGGCGGCAGGCCUAACACAUGCAAGUCGAACGGUAACAGAAAGCAGCUUGCUGCUUUGCUGACGAGUGGCGGACGGGUGAGUAAUGUCUGGGAAACUGCCUGAUGGCGGGGGAUAACUACUGGAAACGGUAGCUAAUACCGCAUAACGUCGCAAGACCAAAGAGGGGGACCUUCGGGCCUCUUGCCAUCGGAUGUGCCCAGAUGGGAUUAGCUAGUAGGUGGGGUAACGGCUCACCUAGGCGACGAUCCCUAGCUGGUCUGAGAGGAUGACCAGCCACACUGGAACUGAGACACGGUCCAGACUCCUACGGGAGGCAGCAGUGGGGAAUAUUGCGCAAUGGGCGCAAGCCUGAUGCAGCCAUGCCGCGUGUAUGAAGAAGGCCUUCGGGUUGUAAAGUACUUUCAGCGGGGAGGAAGGGAGUAAAGUUAAUACCUUUGCUCAUUGACGUUACCCGCAGAAGAAGCACCGGCUAACUCCGUG